rnacentral:rRNA from 1 species
CCACGCCCUAAACGAUGUAUGCUAGUUGUUGGGCUGCUAGUCAGCUCAGUAAUGCAGCUAACGCAUUAAGCAUACCGCCUGGGGAGUACGGUCGCAAGAUUAAAACUCAAAGGAAUAGACGGGGACCCGCACAAGCGGUGGAGCAUGUGGUUUAAUUCGAAGAUACGCGAAGAACCUUACCUAGGCUUGAUAUCCAACAAAUUUUGUAGAAAUACAAAAGUGCUAGCUUGCUAGAAUGUUGAGACAGGUGCUGCACGGCUGU